AUCUUAGGGGAAGAGAAUAUUAAUGGUCCUCUUGAGAAGUUUGGAAGACAUCUUAGUGGCCUUUACCACACAUAUAUGAUUAGGGGAUUGCCACCUACUUGGUGGCAUCUAACCAGGUUUU
rnacentral:ncRNA from 1 species